rnacentral:rRNA from 1 species
GGUAGCAUAAUCAUUUGUCUUAUAAUAGAAGGCUAGAAUGRAAGAGUUGACGACGCUAAAGCUUUUUUUAAAAAAAAAUUGAAUUUAAUAUUUUCAUCAAAAAGUGAAAAUAACCAAAAAGACGAUAAGACCCUAUAAAGCUUAAUUAAUAAAUUAAAUUUUUUAUUAAAGAAUUUUUUAAACUUAAUAAUUAAUUAAACUGGGGCGGUAAUUAUCAUUCUAUAAUAAACACAACAAUUAAUUAUUGUAUUUUUAGAUCUAAAAAAAGAUAUAGAACAAGCUACUUUAGGGAUAACAGCGUAAUUUUUUAUUAUAGAUCUUAUAGACUAACAAAACUUACGACCUCGAUGUUGAAUUGAGGGGCUCUCUAUAAGCAAAAAUAAGAGAGAGAGGUCUGUUCGACCUUUAA